GAUGAACGCUAGCGGGAGGCUUAACACAUGCAAGUCGAGGGGCAGCAUAGGGUAGCAAUACUCUGAUGGCGACCGGCAAACGGGUGAGUAACGCGUAUGCAACCUACCCUGUACAGGGGGAUAACCCGGAGAAAUUCGGACUAAUAUCCCGUAAAUAAUAUCCGGAGGCAUCUUUGGAUAUUUAAAGUUUCGACGGUACGGGAUGGGCAUGCGUAACAUUAGCUGGUUGGUAAGGUAACGGCUUACCAAGGCUAUGAUGUUUAGGGGUCCUGAGAGGGUGGUCCCCCACACUGGUACUGAGACACGGACCAGACUCCUACGGGAGGCAGCAGUGAGGAAUAUUGGUCAAUGGGCGCAAGCCUGAACCAGCCAUCCCGCGUGCAGGAAGACGGCCCUAUGGGUUGUAAACUGCUUUUCCAGGGAGAGAAACUUACGCACGUGUUGCGUGACUGACGGUACCCUGGGAAUAAGCAUCGGCUAACUCCGUGCCAGCAGCCGCGGUAAGCACGAG
rnacentral:rRNA from 1 species